CAGUGCAUUGCCUUUACCUCUUUUAUCACCAAAAAGAAAAAAAAAAAAAAGAGGGAGAAAGUUGGGUUUUUUUCUAUAUUAAUACAUUAGUAGAAUCUUUUCAAAACGAUUCUCCUCUUGACACAAGGGAAGGAGAACAGGUUACGUGAACCCCUCUGCUGUAGCCUGCUGAACACUGGAGCAUGACACUGGCUUUGUGUGACUCAGGUACUGCCUUGAAAAAUCCUGUGACAGCUCUGCAGGACACUUUAAGGACAUUUGCUGAGGAGUUUCCCUUAAGAGUCACCUUCUGGGCAAUAUCCCAUCCAAUACCUGCUAAAAAAAUCAAGCAAAACAAUGCAAACAGCUUUGCCGGUGUGUGGGGGAGAUAUGACAAAACCACCAAUAGGAAGGACUGCAACAGGCUAUCUUUUCUAAAAGCCUCCAUUAGGCUUCCAGCUUCUCAGGGGAAAAAAAAAAG